AGACGAGGUCGUCAUGGGCUUGGUGUUCCUUGUCGCUGUGGUGGUGACGCUGUCCCUGUCGCCAGCAUGUUCCCAGAGAGCCAGCACCUGUGUGGCAACGCUUUGUCAAAAUAACACAGUAUGUCGAGAAGUACUGGACAGAGCUAAGGGCAUUGUAGUAGCACGGUGUCUCAAUCCAAAUGUGUACCUUUCCGACCGGAAGGGAUAAAAUCUGCAGUGAUGGUCAGGCCACUGUGGGUUUCCAAUGACAACGGAGGAUACUCAGAAGCUGCCUGCGGACGAGUGGUUGACAGAGUCACGUGCCCCAACAGCUACACGUGCGUCAUUGCACCCGACGACACCUACUCUCUGUGCUGUCCAAGUCCUCGUCCUCUUGUCAAAAGUGGCGAGUGUCCCUUGGUGAUUUCUAUCACCGUCUUUAAGCCUUGCCCCAGCCUGUGUAAGGUGGACAGUGACUGCAAGGACGACCUCAAGUGUUGCAAGAACUCGUGUGGAGGCUUCGUGUCAGAAACCCGAGAAGGAUGCCUGCAGAUUCAGUAACUGCAAGCCAGGCUUUGUUUGCAAUAAACAGUUGAAAGGUCAUCCAUGCGUCCCUGAAACAAAAGAAGGAAAGUGCCCAGCGAUAAAAAUCAGUGAGAAAAACACAAAAUGCCAGUCAAGCUGCCAGACAGAUGGGGUUGCUCUGGUCACCUAAAAUGUUGCUCUGCCAAUAAAUUCUGCAAAAGGUGUGAUGAGCCAGAAGCAAGCCAAAACCUGUGAGAAUAAGAAGUGUAAUCCCGGAGAGAAGUGCAUCAUGCAGAAAGUGCAGUGCAUCAAGGCUCCAUGUUUCGACAUUCCCACCUGUGUAUAGAAAAUGUUUCCAGUUUUGAUGCUCAUCACCAGACACACAGUUCAGUGUCUGUCCUGGCUACAACUUGCAAUCAUUUUGCUCUCUAUGGACGAAGAUAUGAAAUCCUUCAGUAGACUACAGCUCACUUGCAAAAAAUAUAUUUUAGAGUCUGAACUUUUCUACUUUUGUGUUUAAUGGGAGAACACGGCUUUACUAUGUGACUUUUAGAUAUAGUGCUUUAUAAUUUUUUGGGGGAUAUAUAUACCGAUAGAGAAUGUUAAAAAUAGUAAGAUAGACAAGUUUUCUACCAAUGUAAACAGUGGUUGCCAUGAAAACGCUCAAAAUUUGCCGCAAAAAUACAAAAUGGUCAUUUUUUAUUGCUAGAUAAGCGUGUUAGAGUCUGAAUAAACAAUUGAGCAACUCGAUAAAUCUUGUAGAGAAAAUGAAAUAAAGGUCUUAUCAGUAAAAACUUGUCAUUUUAUA